CAAAAUUAUCCAGUCAGCCAAAUCUUUGCAUUUUACUUCCUAGUUGCCCGGUGAGAGCAGAACAGCCCCUGCAGGGAGAGUUCAGCUCAAAGGGUGCAGGGUCUGUCCAGCCACAAGCUGCCCUGUGGCUUUAAGAACUGGGACUGGCUGGGAGCCCAAGAAGCCACUGCUGCUGCACUGGCCAAGGGAGCCAGGCUAUGGGAGCUGAGCCACCACCAUCAGCGCCAGGGGCUGGCCCAGGCUUGCAGACCUGAGCCCCUCCGAAUGCGCCUGUGCCUGUGGUGAGCGGAAGAAAGGGACCUUCAUGGCUUUUGGAGACUUCUGACGACGGUGUCCCGGAGAGCUACACUUCGAGAGAGAUGUAAGAGGAUGUAACAGAGUGAGAGCGGUGCCUCUGGAAAAUAGAAACGGAGCUGUUUCCCACAGGAAAGAGAGUGCCAUGAACAGUUGCCCCUGUAUCAUGUGCCAGUCUGCCCUGGAGCCAGUCAAUAUGGACUGAAACCUCUACAAACUGUGAGCCAAAUAAAC